UGGUCUUUGGCGGCUCAUGUACUAAAGUUGGAGUGACAUAGAGAAGAUUAGCACAGCUCCUGUGUGAGGAUGACAUGCAAACUCGUAUAGUGUUAAAAAAAAAA